UACGUAGGGUGCGAGCGUUAAUCGGAAUUACUGGGCGUAAAGCGUGCGUAGGCGGUUCGUUGUGUCUGUGGUGAAAGCCCCGGGCUUAACCUGGGAAUGGCCAUGGAAACUGGCGAGCUGGAGUGUGGCAGAGGGGGGUGGAAUUCCGCGUGUAGCAGUGAAAUGCGUAGAGAUGCGGAGGAACACCGAUGGCGAAGGCAGCCCCCUGGGCUAACACUGACGCUCAGGCACGAAAGCGUGGGGAGCAAACAGG
rnacentral:rRNA from 1 species